rnacentral:rRNA from 1 species
UACGGAGGGUGCGAGCGUUGUCCGGAAUCACUGGGCGUAAAGGGCGCGUAGGCGGCGCGGAUAGUCGGCGGUGAAAGCCCGGAGCUCAACUCCGGGUCGGCCGUCGAUACUUCCGGGCUUGAGCACUGUAGAGGCAGAUGGAAUUCCGGGUGUAGCGGUGGAAUGCGUAGAGAUCCGGAAGAACACCGGUGGCGAAGGCGGCCUUCUGGACAGUGACUGACGCUGAGACGCGAAAGCGUGGGGAGCAAACAGG